CACCUUUAGUCUUGUGAUGAAGCAAAGCUCAGGAAGAAGUGUAAUUAAAUGGUACCCACAUGUGUGCUGCUGAGAAGGAUGUACAGGGGCACCUGCAGCCAAAUCCAAGCCUCCUCAGCAACUUCAGGUCUGUCAGCGUGCUGAGGUCACAGAAACAAGAAAAGCAGCUUCAGACUUUAGAGUGUUGUUUACAGUUUUCUGACAUCAUGAUCUCCCCUGAAGUUUAUCACUAUUAGGCAAGCAAGCAGAGCAGCAGUUUGUGCUCACAGAUGGUGACGGUGUGGAGAGACGGUGGUGUUUCCUCAGAAGAACUAGCAGAGUCACAAAGGACACGAGUCCUUCUCACCACCUUGACUUGUUGAUCAGUGGAUACACUUGUCUCCCCUUUAAAGGAGACACUCUUAGAGAGAGACGAUCUGAGUCAUCCUUAAAUAUGGACAGGAUAUCACUAUUGGACUGUCUAACCUGCCGGAGCAGCACUGAAUGACCACCACACAUGAUCAGUUCCUGCAACAUUCAGCAGCUCUGCUUUUGUGUCAAAUGUCAACCAGCUGGAGAGGAAACUACACCAGUGUACUGGGAUGUUUCACCAACACGUGCCAGACGCUGUUCCUUCAUGGUGACAUCACCAGAGACGGCCCCGCCCACCUCAGGACCUCGCCAUUGAUCAUGAUGAUUAUAAUGAUGACAGCGAGCGGAACUAAGACUGUAAAAAUCAGAAUGUUUAGAUGCUUUCUAAUUAUUAAUGAAUACUGAGAGCCUCUUUCUGUGUUUUGUCUGUUUUGGGGUUUUUUUUACCUCAUUUGUUACUAACAAAGUUCACCAAACUCACACAGUUUACAUUCUGUAUGUUUCCAUCUUUACCAGCCACACUCUACCCGCAAUUAAGAAAAUAAUCCUUAGAAAUUGUCGUUUUUCUCUUUUGUAAUUUUGUAAUUCAGUGAAUAUACGGCGCUGCUUCCUUUAAUUGCGUCUCACAUUGCUUUAAGUUUUUCCAGUGUCCAGUUAUUUUUUACUGUUGUUUGAAUUCUCUGUAUGUUUGACCCUGUAGACUGUUUGAUGGACUGCUUGUCUUCCUGUUUGUAACCGCCGCCUGUUUUUGACUAAAGAUUUGGAUUUCUGACUUUAA